GAUCAGGUAGAACACCCUGAUUCAGCAGAACUGGCUGGUUGUGCUGCAGUCAUCAUGAGAAGGCACAGGGUCAUUUGUUUCUUAACAUAUGUGUAAGAAAAAGGUUUAGACAAGGAUCUGGUGGUCGUUCCCUGACAAAUGGAGAACUAUUUCCAAGCAGAGGCAUAUAACCUCGAUAAGGUUUUAGAUGAAUUUGAGCAAAACGAAGAUGCCGCUGUUUCACCUACUCUGCUGGGUGCAAAGUGGAAUCAGAUUCUAGAUCCGCCUUCUCGCCGCCUGUCAUUCAACUCGGCUGUGGCCAACGUGAAUGAAGCUACAACUCCUGAUGAAUGUCAGCAGAGAUUAAAGUCUUUCUCCUUGUCCCACUCAGUGACCACACCAACAGGAGGAGGGGAUUGCUGUGCUAAUGGAAAGGAUUUUAGCAUAAGCCCAGAGACCCCAGUCAUGUGGAUUGAUGAUCAGACAGCAGCAGAUGAUCAGUUGAUUAAAAGAAAUAGUAAUCGAGAUGAUCAGUGUAACUCUAUGGAAGCAGGAGAAAAGAAAUGUGGAAAUACAGCUUGCUUGCCAGAGGAGAAAAAUGUGCUAGUGGUGGCAGUCAUGCACAACUGCGACAGAAGAACACUACAAAGUGGUGAUGUGGUGGAUUGUUCAAAUUACAACAGUCAGUCCCUAAUGGACUCUAUUAGCUUUACACUGGAUAAUGAAAACCGACAGAGUGACCAGUUUAGUGUUACUGUAAAUGGAUCCACAGAAAAGGAUAUUGAUACAAAAAAGCAAGUAAACAGGCUCUGCACUGAAGAUGACUCUGUAAGUCAUUUGAUUAAUGCUUCGUCUGAAAGCCUGCCCGCUGCAUGCCCCUCCUCUCGAUUAAAGGAGGAUUUUAAUAUGAGUAAAGAUUUGCUGUUUUCAGAAGCUACAACUGCAGGGAUCAAUGCAGUGACUCUCUUACAGAGACCAGUUGAUGGUACUGCUAAAAUGCAAGAAAAUUGUGCAUCAGUUGAAAAUUUCACUAGUAAAGCCAUUCCUCAGAGAACAGAUCUGGAAGCUAAAAACUCUUCUGGUUCCAGUAGUGGAAGCUUAAUUGUAGAACAGGAAGCAGCCCAGCAGUUGCAGUCUAGGCUAUCUGGGCUCACUGAAACCUGUCAACCUAACGUGGCUGGAAGAGGCAAUUACAAGGAAUGUGUUGCAGAGGAUGUUAGUGCCACUGAAAGCAAAGUCAUUGAAUGUGAUAAAAAUCUCGGCACAACGGAAUUGCACAGCAUGGCAGAAUGUUACCCUGAAUCUCAGGAGAUGACUAAUUGGGAGCUGACAAAGUUGAAUGAUAUGAAUAAUAAGCAAACUCUAGGAGAGAAUGAAAGACUUUUGCAGACCAAACAGCCUGAUGAUGCAUGUGGAAAUAGCAAAGAAGAUGAAGAUGGGGUAUUGGAGGCAGGCAUAGACUCAAAAGGAUCUGGUACAGAUGAGCUUGGAGAGUCCAGUCUCUCUGAUGUGAUGGCUACAUCAGCAGCAAGCUCUCUGUCUAAUGGUUGUGAUUCCUAUGGAAUGCAGAACCCAGUUGUUGCUCAUGUCCCAAAGACUUUACCCUCCAAGGAAGACUCGGUAACAGAGGAAAAGGAGAUUGAGGAGAGCAAGUCAGAAUGUUACACUAAUGUUUAUGAACAGAGAGGAAAUGAGACCACAGAAGGGAGUGGUCUUAUUUUAAACAGCACUGGUGACCACAUAAAGAAAAAUUAUUUGCAUAAUCUUUGUAGUCAGGUUUCAUCCAUGCAAGGGCAGACUUCACCAAAACCAGUGACUAAUCUGCAAUAUAUCAGUGUUCCUUUUGGUGGUGCAAGACCUAAGCAACCCACAAAUCUGAAACUGCAGAUUCCGAAGCCAUUAUCGGACCACUUACAAAAUGAUGUUAUUCCCCCAAAUUGUGGAGGUAAUAGCAAAAACAAAAAUGUCUUUGGUAAGACACAGUUAGGGGAUACAGCAGACACGUUUCCUGGUGAAACAUCUUCAAAUGCCUCUGGUACUGGUUCUAAUGGGGAGCAUUUGGACGAGUAUGAAUCUGGAGUCUCUAAUAGUUCGUGCCUUGCAGUAGCCCCAGAUAGUCCAGAUAAUGAUCUCAGAGCUGGUCAGUUUGGAGCUCCAGCCAGAAAGCCUUUUACGACUUUGGGUGAGGUGGCUCCAGUGUGGGUUCCAGAUUCUCAAGCACCAAACUGUAUGAAAUGUGAGGCCAGAUUUACAUUCACCAAAAGAAGACACCAUUGCAGAGCCUGUGGGAAGGUGUUCUGUGCUGCCUGCUGUAGCCUGAAGUGCAAGCUGCUGUACAUGGACCGCAAGGAAGCCAGAGUGUGUGUGAUCUGCCACUCAGUGCUGAUGAAUGCUCAAGCCUGGGAGAACAUGAUGAGUGCCUCAAGCCAGAGCCCUAACCCUAACAAUCCUGCUGAAUACUGUUCUACUAUCCCUCCUUUGCAGCAGGCUCAGGCCUCGGGUGCCCUGAGCUCCCCACCUCCCACUGUCAUGGUACCUGUGGGAGUUCUAAAGCAUCCUGGAGCAGAAGUGGCUCAGCCUAGAGAACAAAGGCGUGUUUGGUUUGCUGAUGGGAUUUUACCCAAUGGAGAAGUUGCCGAUGCAGCAAAGCUGACAGUGGCUGGGACAACUUCCACAGGAACCUUAGCAGUGUCUCAUGAUCCAUCAAAGCCCAUGGCCAACAACACUUUAUCAGCAGAAACUGAUAAUGCCUCUGUAUUCUCGGGAAAUAUAACUCAGGUUGGCAGUCCUGUUGGCAGUGCAAUGAAUCUGAUUCCUGAAGAUGGUCUUCCUCCAAUUCUCAUCUCCACUGGAGUAAAAGGAGACUAUGCUGUGGAAGAGAGACCUUCUCAGAUCUCUGUCAUGCAGCAGCUGGAGGAUGGUGGCCCUGACCCUCUAGUAUUUGUUUUAAAUGCUAAUUUGCUGUCCAUGGUAAAAAUAGUAAAUUAUGUGAACAGGAAGUGCUGGUGUUUCACCACGAAAGGCAUGCAUGCAGUGGGGCAGUCGGAGAUCGUCAUUCUCCUGCAGUGUUUGCCUGAUGAGAAAUGUUUGCCUAAGGAUAUCUUUAACCAUUUUGUGCAACUUUACCGGGAUGCCUUAGCAGGUAACAUUGUUGGCAACCUGGGACACUCCUUUUUCAGCCAGAGCUUCCUUGGAAGCAAAGAACACGGAGGGUUCUUGUAUGUUGCAGCGACCUAUCAGUCCCUGCAGGACCUGGUGCUCCCAACCCCACCAUACUUGUUUGGCAUCCUCAUCCAGAAGUGGGAGACUCCCUGGGCCAAGGUGUUCCCCAUCCGGCUGAUGCUGAGACUCGGAGCUGAAUACAGGCUUUAUCCAUGCCCACUUUUUAGUGUCAGAUUCCGUAAGCCUUUGUUUGGAGAGACUGGACACACAAUCAUGAACCUCCUUGCAGACUUCAGAAACUACCAGUACACACUGCCUGUGGUCCAAGGCUUAGUGGUUGAUAUGGAAGUCAGAAAAACCAGCAUCAAAAUACCUAGCAACCGAUAUAAUGAGAUGAUGAAAGCCAUGAACAAAUCCAACGAGCACGUGCUGGCAGGGGGAGCGUGUUUCAACGAGAAGGCAGACUCGCAUCUGGUGUGUGUGCAGAACGAUGACGGCAACUACCAGACACAGGCCAUCAGCAUCCACAACCAGCCCAGGAAAGUGACUGGUGCCAGCUUCUUUGUGUUCAGUGGAGCUUUAAAAUCCUCUUCAGGCUACCUUGCCAAAUCCAGUAUAGUGGAAGAUGGAGUGAUGGUCCAGAUAACUGCUGAGAACAUGGACUCUUUGAGACAGGCCUUGAGAGAGAUGAAAGACUUCACCAUCACCUGUGGCAAAGUAGAUGCUGAAGACCCUCAGGAACACGUUCACAUUCAGUGGGUAGAAGAUGAUAAAAACUUUAAUAAGGGCGUUGUGAGCCCUAUUGAUGGCAAAUCCAUGGAAUCUAUAACCAGCGUGAAGAUAUUCCACGGCUCUGAGUACAAGGCCAACGGGAAGGUCAUCCGGUGGACAGAGGUGUUUUUUCUGGAAAAUGAUGAGCAACACAAUGGUCUGAGUGACCCAGCUGAUCACAGCAGACUGACUGAAAAUGUGGCAAAAGCUUUCUGUCUGGCUCUGUGUCCUCAUUUGAAACUGCUGAAAGAAGAUGGAAUGACUAAGCUGGGUCUGCGUGUUACACUGGACUCAGAUCAAGUUGGUUAUCAAGCUGGGAGCAAUGGACAGCCACUGCCCUCUCAAUACAUGAAUGACCUGGACAGUGCCUUAGUGCCAGUGAUUCAUGGAGGGGCCUGUCAGUUGAGUGAGGGGCCAGUCAUAAUGGAGCUCAUAUUUUAUAUUCUGGAAAACAUCUCAUAAGAGGACUUCAUUUUCUGUUCAGACCUGUUCCAGCAGCAGUUGUAUCUGAAUCAUUUGCACUUUAAAACUGGAAAAUUAAGCUUUUGUUAACACUAUUGGGCAAGGGGGGGAGGGGGGUGGGACAGUUGUUCCAUAAUUCUAAAUCUUCUAUGCAUUGUCAACAACCAGAGGAUCAGGGCAGCUUCUAUACUACAACAUGGCUAUGCUAUCCUUGCAGCUAAUCCAAUUCUGUUACUGUUUAGGAAAAUGCUCAUGUUUAAAGACUUACAGUCAUGUACUCUCAACGCUCAAAGGUUGCAAAGAUCACUGGGGCGCAAAUAAAAAGUGAAAUUCCAACCUUGUACUGUCUGUAGAUGGACAUGUAAGAAACAACAAUCAAGACCUCCAUUCUGACCUCAUCCUAAUGCCAUUCGUGUUUAUUCUGUAGACAUUAAAAAGUAACGUUUACAUUAUUUUGACCAGAUUAUUGGUUGAAAUACUUUUGGAGAAGCCCUUGAAAGAUAGGGAAAGAGUCCCUAGCCAUAACACUGUUUGUCUGUGUGUCCAGAGGAGCAGGACAGGCAUCUCUCUGAAGGUUACUGAACUGCAGUUGUGUGUGUGGAAUAGGCUAGUUUCCUUUUCUCCUCUAUUUACCACAAAAGUCCAUCACUUGGGCAGGUUUCUGUCAUCUCCUACAACAACUCUGCUAUUACGUAUUUUGUUUACAAAACUGUCUGAAGCAGAGGAAAGAUCAGCCCUAAAGUGCAGUUACAUCUUGUUCCUUGUCCCCAGUAGGUCCUGCUUUUUAGAGGCAAGUCCCACCCAGGACAGCUCUGUCCCCUCCCUGCUGUUUGCUGUAGUGUAAUGCCAGUGUCAUGUAAACCAAGCCAGCUUGCACUUCAUAUUGCAGCCCCAUGUCCAAGCUUACCUGUGAUACCAGUGUAGAGUGGCUGUUCCUGCAUGUUCUGCUGAAAAAGGCUUUGUGGUCAGUUCUGAACACGUGCACUUGGCCCAGUGCUCUUGGUCUCGCCUGAGAGGGCUUUGGUAAGGAAAGCAGCUGCUCGUGUCUGCCAGGGCAUUAAGAAGCUGAAAUUGAGCAUCAGCCAGAGGAAAUGUGGUUCCAUGUUCUUACUGUCUCCAUGGAAAGCUGCUAACCAGUGGCAAGAGCUGUAAGCAGGAGAAGGGGUUUGAUUUGUUUAGCCAGUCAUGCAAAGCAGGUCGUUUGAGUCCGUCCCAGAAAGAGGGGUGGAGGUUUCUCCUCCUGUCUAGAACUAAUUAAUUUGGGAAGAGAGGUGCUAAUUUAUGGUGAACAUUUGUGGUGUCAGACAUUCCCUAAUGCCCUCCAUUCUGGGGGAAGCAGCAGGGCCUGUGCUGUGACAGAGUAACACUAGGGGCCUUGCAAAGAGAAAGGGAAGCACCUGGCCACUGUGAGACUGAAGCUCUGGUUUUUAAACAAAUCAACAUCAUUGGCUGGGCAGGGGAAAGGUAACUGCACAAAAUUUUAUAGAAAGGCAGCCCAGGGUCUGCACAGAGUGCACUUGGGAAUAAACG